GCCAGCAGCCGCGGUAAUUCCAGCUCCAAUAGCGUAUAUUAAAAUUGUUGCAGUUAAAAAGCUCGUAGUUGAAUUUCUGCUAAAAAUAACCGGUCUGCUUUAAAUAAAGGUGGUAUCUUGGUGUGUUUUUAGCAAUAAUGUCCUUUGAAAUGUUUUUUACUUCAUUGUAAUAAAUUAUAUUCAGGAUUUUUACUUUGAGAAAAUUAGAGUGUUUCUAGCAGGCUAACGCUUUGAAUA
rnacentral:rRNA from 1 species